GCCUGGGUGGCUCAGUCAGUUAAGUGUCUGACUUUGGCUCAGGUCAUGAUCUUACCGUCUGUGGGUUCGAGCCCUGCGUCAGGCA
rnacentral:tRNA from 1 species